rnacentral:rRNA from 1 species
CUGUGAUGGCGAGCGAAAUAUAGUAGCGAAGUUCCUGAUUCCACACUGCCAAGAAAAGCCUCUAGCGAGGUGAGAGGUGCCCGUACCGCAAACCGACACAGGUAGGCGAGGAGAGAAUCCUAAGGUGAUCGAGAGAACUCUCGUUAAGGAACUCGGCAAAAUGACCCCGUAACUUCGGGAGAAGGGGUGCUCUGUUAGGGUGCAAGCCCGAGAGAGCCGCAGUGAAUAGGCCCAGGCGACUGUUUAGCAAAAACACAGGUCUCUGCGAAGCCGUAAGGCGAAGUAUAGGGGCUGACGCCUGCCCGGUGCUGGAAGGUUAAGAGGAGCGCUUAGCGUAAGCGAAGGUGCGAAUUGAAGCCCCAGUAAACGGCGGCCGUAACAAUAACGGUCCUAAGGUAGCGAAAUUCCUUGUCGGGUAAGUUCCGACCCGCACGAAAGGCGCAACGAUCUGGGCACUGUCUCAACGAGAGACUCGGUGAAAUUAUAGUACCUGUGAAGAUGCAGGUUACCCGCGACAGGACGGAAAGACCCCGUGGAGCUUUACUGCAGCCUGAUAUUGAAUGUUGGUACAGCUUGUACAGGAUAGGUAGGAGCCUUGGAAACCGGAGCGCCAGCUUCGGUGGAGGCAUCGGUGGGAUACUACCCUGGCUGUAUUGACCUUCUAACCCGCCGCCCUUAUCGGGCGGGGAGACAGUGUCAGGUGGGCAGUUUGACUGGGGCGGUCGCCUCCUAAAAGGUAACGGAGGCGCCCAAAGGUUCCCUCAGAAUGGUUGGAAAUCAUUCGCAGAGUGUAAAGGCACAAGGGAGCUUGACUGCGAGACCUACAAGUCGAGCAGGGACGAAAGUCGGGCUUAGUGAUCCGGUGGUUCCGCAUGGAAGGGCCAUCGCUCAACGGAUAAAAGCUACCCCGGGGAUAACAGGCUUAUCUCCCCCAAGAGUCCACAUCGACGGGGAGGUUUGGCACCUCGAUGUCGGCUCAUCGCAUCCUGGGGCUGUAGUCGGUCCCAAGGGUUGGGCUGUUCGCCCAUUAAAGCGGUACGCGAGCUGGGUUCAGAACGUCGUGAGACAGUUCGGUCCCUAUCCGUCGCGGGCGCAGGAAAUUUGAGAGGAGCUGUCCUUAGUACGAGAGGACCGGGAUGGACGCACCGCUGGUGUACCAGUUGUUCUGCCAAGGGCAUCGCUGGGUAGCUAUGUGCGGACGGGAUAAGUGCUGAAAGCAUCUAAGCAUGAAGCCCCCCUCAAGAUGAGAUUUCCCAUUCCGCAAGGAAGUAAGAUCCCUGAAAGAUGAUCAGGUUGAUAGGUCUGAGGUGGAAGUGUGGCGACACAUGGAGCUGACAGAUACUAAUCGAU